rnacentral:sRNA from 1 species
GCUGGGCAUGGUGGUGCACACCUGUAAUCCCAGCAGCUCAGGAGGCUGAGGCAGGAGGAUCUCAAGCUUGAGGCCAGCCUCAGCAACUUAGCCAGGCUGUAAGCAACUCAGUGAGACUUUGUCUCUA